AAGUGGGACCAAGUGGUGGGGGCCUCUGGCUAUAGAUGGAGCUUGCAAAUAGAAGUUCACCUAAUUUCUGCAUGUUACUACACACAAUAUCAAAUGGAACAACAACCGGUAUCGGCAUUAUUGUGCGUUUUUGUUUACAUUUAGUUAUUAGUAGUUUUUGGGGAAUGAGGUGUGUGGUACAAUUACCCUCUGGAAAUGAAAACAAUUUUAAUUCACAGUCCUAACGUGAGUUGGGUUCAUUGACUAUCUCUUUCUUUAUAGGAUGACGCAUUGAUUUUAAUUUGGACCGGUUAUGGUUUUGGUUUGUCAGAAAAUAAAUAUAUUUUGAUCGACAUUUUUGUCUGUUCAUCAGUUGCAUUAACUUAUUUGGAAAAACGAAAAAAGAAGUAAACAAAACAUGAAGCCAGCUGGAGUGCCAGAAAGUAUUGGCAUUUGUUUUCUUUGCAGACGAAAAUAACAAAUUAAUUUGUUCGAGAAUGUUUACACGAAGGCUUGAGUGUUUAUUAAUAGAAUGAAAUGAAUAACUAAUGAUUUCACAGACUAAAAAGGCCUUUCUAUUGAGCAUUGCAAGGGGCACCAUUUUCAAUGAAAUGUGUAACUGGAUAGCCUAUAGCCAGCGGACAAACAAG